UACGUAGGGUGCAAGCGUUAAUCGGAAUUACUGGGCGUAAAGCGUGCGCAGGCGGUUCGGAAAGAGAGGUGUGAAAUCCCAGGGCUUAACCUUGGAACUGCACUUCUAACUACCGGGCUAGAGUACGUCAGAGGGGGGUAGAAUUCCACGUGUAGCAGUGAAAUGCGUAGAGAUGUGGAGGAAUACCGAUGGCGAAGGCAGCCCCCUGGGAUGAUACUGACGCUCAGGCACGAAAGCGUGGGGAGCAAACAGG
rnacentral:rRNA from 1 species